GAUGAACGCUGGCGGCGUGCCUAAUACAUGCAAGUCGAGCGAAUGGAUUAAGAGCUUGCUCUUAUGAAGUUAGCGGCGGACGGGUGAGUAACACGUGGGUAACCUGCCCAUAAGACUGGGAUAACUCCGGGAAACCGGGGCUAAUACCGGAUAACAUUUUGAACCGAAUGGUUCGAAAUUGAAAGGCGGCUUCGGCUGUCACUUAUGGAUGGACCUGCGUCGCAUUAGCUAGUUGGUGAGGUAACGGCUUACCAAGGCAACGAUGCGUAGCCGAGCUGAGAGGGUCUGCGGCCACACUGGUACUGAGACACGGCCCAGACUCCUACAGGAGGCAGCAGUAGGGAAUCUUCCGCACUUGACGAAAGUCUGAGGGAGCAACGCCGCGUGAGUGAUGAAGGCUUUCGGGUCGUAAAACUCUGUUGUUAGGGAAGAACAAUUGCUAGUUGAAUAAGCUGGCACCUUGACGGUACCUAACCAGAAAGCCACGGCUAACUACGUGCCAGCCGCCGCAGUAA
rnacentral:rRNA from 1 species